UACGUAGGGGGCAAGCGUUGUCCGGAUUUAUUGGGCGUAAAGCGCUCGCAGGUGGCCCGAUGCGUCGUGCGUGAAAGACCCCGGCUCAACUGGGGGGCGUCGUGCGAUACGGUCGGGCUGGAGGCCAGUAGGGGGAUGCGGAAUUCCGGGUGUAGUGGUGGAAUGCGUAGAGAUCCGGAGGAACACCAGCGGCGAAGGCGGCAUCCUGGACUGGUCCUGACACUCAUGAGCGAAAGCGUGGGGAGCGAUCCGG
rnacentral:rRNA from 1 species